GCCUGGGUGGCUCAGUGGGUUAAGAGGCCGACUUCAGCUCAGGUCAGGAUCUCAUGGUUCGUGGGUUCGAGCCCCGCCUCAGGCC
rnacentral:tRNA from 1 species